UACGUAGGCAGCGAGCGUUGUUCGGAGUUACUGGGCGUAAAGGGUGUGUAGGCGGUUGUUUAAGUUUGGUGUGAAAUCUCCCGGCUCAACUGGGAGGUGCGCCGAAUACUGAAUGACUUGGAGUGCGGGAGAGGAAAGUGGAAUUCCUGGUGUAGCGGUGAAAUGCGUAGAUAUCAAGAGGAACACCUGAGGUGAAGACGGGUUGCUGGGCUGACACUGACGCUGAGGCGCGAAAGCCAGGGGAGCAAACGGG
rnacentral:rRNA from 1 species